rnacentral:lncRNA from 1 species
UUCUUGUUCGUUGGAUGGAUCAACUUGAUUCUGACGGUACAUGGAUUCCCAAAGAGAGACUUCAGCAGUGUGAGCCAAAUUUAUUGGAGCUUUAUAAGAGUCAGCAAAAUUCUCACUCGCCUAAGUUAUCUUGGUUAGCUCAUGUUUUUGCGGGUAAUUUGCAAUUGGCAUCGUCACCAUUUGUGGAAUUUUGAUAUUUGGUUCGUCAGAAAGAUCGUCCUCCAUGGCAUGACUUGGAGCCUUUAGCAUCAGAUUCAUUGCAACAUUUUGAUUUAUCCACUCGACGGGGUCGAGUUUUUCUCCCACCCCGGGAGAGUUGAUGCGGACAUCCAUUUACUAUUUAUUUUCUUUUUGGACUAUUAGUUAUAUUCUAUUUGGAUUAUUAUUUAUAUUUCUGUUAUUGGGCUUGUUUAGUGGGUUUGGCCCAAGCCAUUCUCUUUAGGGUUUAUGUUCUACUAUUUAUUUCUGUUUUGUUUCUCAUUUGAGACAGUUGAUGAUGAAUUAGAAUUGAAAUAUUUUUGGUGGCUUGCAGCCGUUUUCUCCCUCCCCUCUCUUCCCCUGGUUUCUUCUCCUCUUCUCCCUUCUCUCUGUUUCUCCUCCCCGUUCCUCCUUCUUUCUUUCUUAUUCAUCCUACAUCACAAG